rnacentral:rRNA from 1 species
CCUACGGGAGGCAGCAGUGGGGAAUAUUGGACAAUGGGCGCAAGCCUGAUCCAGCCAUGCCGCGUGUGUGAAGAAGGCCUUAUGGUUGUAAAGCACUUUAAGCGAGGAAGAGGCUACUUUAGUUAAUACCUAGAGAUAGUGGACGUUACUCGCAGAAUAAGCACCGGCUAACUCUGUGCCAGCAGCCGCGGUAAU